CUUUGUGAUAUAUUUUUCUAUAUAGCAAAUGGUCUCCUUUGUUUCAAUUAUUUUCUUCUGCUCUGUGACAGGAUGUGUCUAGUCUUUCUUCUAUUUAAUUUGUGUUUUUCUCAAUGUUAUUUGCUCUAUGUAUUGCUUCUGAAGGUGAUUUUAUUGGGCAUGCUUGGUUGACUUUCUGGCAGCUAUUCCACUACCCCCCAUUAUGUAGUAGCCAUAAGGUUUGUAUAUUUGAUUGAUUCUUCUUUUAGUUCCAGGGAUGGAAUCCGAGUGAUCGCUAAGGCAAUUCAUAUAUUUUACCCACCUUAGGAUAACUGGUUUAGGAUUGGACAAACAAUCUCAGCUGCUUCAAUCAGACUCACUUCCUUUCAUUCAGAUGGAAGAUGGGAAAACACAAUGCUAUAGACUUUGGAAUAUUGUAUGGGCUCGUAAUCAGCGUACUGAAUUUCAAGCCAUUCCUUGGCCACUCAAUGGCCACUACUAAAUCACACAACCCACCCAACUGGAGAAUUAAAUCAAAUAUCUGGAGCAAUUUAAUGUGCAUGCAUUCGUGGCCACAAAAAUGAAGAUACAAAUAAGUGCUGGAUAUUAGACCUUCGUCAGACACAUAGACCAGUGGAACAGAAUAGAGAACCCAGAAAUUAGAUCACUCAUCUUCAACCAUCCAAUCUUCGACAAACCUGACAAAAAGCAAUGGGGAAAGGACUCCCUGUUCAAUAAAUGGUGCUGGGAGAAAUGGCUGGCCAUAUUGUGUCUAGAAUUUAUUCCUUCCAGUGGGUUCUUGGUCUCGCUGGCUUCAAGAAUGGAGCCGCAGACCUUUGCAGUGAGUGUUACAGCUCAUAAAGGUGUUGCAGACCCAAAGAGUGAGCAGCAGCAAGAUUUACUGUGAAGAGCGAAAGAACAAAGCUUCCACAGCAUGGAAGGGCACUUUCCGCUGCUGGCUCAGGUGGCCAGCUUUUAUUCCCUUAUUUGGCCCCACCCACAUCCUGCUGACUGGUCCAUUUUACAGAGCCCUGAUUGGUCCAUUUUACAGAGUGCUGAUUGGUGUGUUUACAAUCCUUUAUCUAGACACUGAGCACUGAUUGGUGCGUUUUUACAGAGGGCUGAUCAGUGCGUUUAUUUUCCUUUAGCUAGACACAGAGCGCUGAUUGGUGCGUUUUUACAGAGUGCUGAUUGGUGCAUUGACAAUCCUUUAGCUAGACACAGAGUGCUGAUUGGUGCAUUUUUACAGAGUGCUGAUUGGUGCAUUUACAAUCCUUGAGCUAGACACAGAGCGCUGAUUGCGUUUACAAUCCUCUAGCUAGAUAGAAAAGUUCUCCAAGUCCCCACUUGACCCAGGAAGUCCAGCUGGCUUCACUUCUCAAUAUGUAGAAAAUUGAAACUGGACCCCUUCCUUACACCACAUACAAAUAUUAAAUCAAAAGAGAUUAAAAACCUAAAUGUAAAACUCAAAACUAAGAAAACCUUGAAAGACAGCUGAGGCAAUACCAUUCGGGACAUAGGCCAUGAGCAAAGAUUUCAUGAGAAAAAUGCCAAAGGCAACUGCAAGAAAACAAAAAAUUGACAAAUGGGACCUAACUAAACUGAAGAACUCUGCACAGCAAAAGAAACUGUCUGCAGAGUAAACAGACCACCUACAGAAUGGGAGAAAAUGUUUGCACUGAUUUACUUUCACAAAGUCAGUUUGUGAAAGAAAAAGAGAACAAGUGGAAUUUGAAAGGCAAUGGCUAAUUUCUUAUGCAUCAGUGAAGACAUUGGAAUCCAAUAGAGUUGAGUGCAAAGCCCACCCUGCCCCAAUUCUGUGCCUAUAAAGACCUCAGGCUCAGCCAGCAGAGAGGAAAAGUGGCUGGAUGUUGAGAGAGGCAGUUUGACUCCAGAGAUGGCAGCUGGAUGUCGGAAAGCAGCAACUUGACUUCACAAGAGAGAGGCAGAGGUGACUUAAUAUCAGAGGAGAGCAACCUGCCCUUCCCAUCCCCUUUCCAUCUCCCCUCUUGCUGAGAGCCGCUCUCGUCACGCAAUAAAAUUCACCACAUUCACCAUCCUUCAAUUUAUAUUUGCGACCUCAUUCCUCUUGGGCACCGGACAAGAAUUUGGGAUGCACCAAGUGUGGACACCCACAAAGGCUGUCACAGUGGCCCUUUGCCAUUGCCAGCAGAGGGCAGCUGCCCCAUGCAAUAAGCCAAAGGGCUGGCUGAGCUGAUAACACACUGCUUUCUGUGGACGGCGGCGGAGCUAAAAGAGUAUUGUAACAUGCCCUCUGGGGCCUUGGGGAACCCCACCUGGAUCCUGCCAAGAGGCCUGCAUGAAGUUUGCUCCUGCCAGCACUAAAGCAGCCAGUUUUUUCCUGCACUCACUCACCUGCACACUUCCUCCUGCGAUGGGUGGGACACAGUCAACCUGAGUGAGCAGAGUUUGCUCAUGCAGGCACCUAAAUUGCUGGCAAGUUCCUGAGCUCAUUCGCUUCAAUUCCCGUACUCAUUUGCAUGGGUGCUCCCUCCCACAAGGGGUUGAACAGGACAGGUUGAGUAAAUGGUGCACCCCUCUUUUGAGUCCCACCAAGGGUCAAGAAAAUAUCCUGCAUCACUUUGUCAACUUAUGCCACUUAAAGGACAUGCUGCCUACUUUAGACUUAUUUACAAGUUUGCAUAAUUUUUAGACAUAGACAACGCCGUUUAUCUCUGCAAUUACUAUCAAUUCUAACCUAGGAAGCACCAAGUUAAUGGCAAUAAAAAAAAAAAGAAUAAACAACUGUUUCCAGCAACAAGGUGACUGUACCAGUAAUUAAUUUAUUGCCUUCCAGAGGCAAAUUCACUAUUGCCUGUUCUGAGAAAAAGAAUCUGGGCCCUUCAAAUAGCUGCCAGAAUGUAAAAACUUGCCAGCAGAUGGUGGUGGAGAGAUGCUGGAGGUGGAAGGGAUUUCAUCCCAGGUCUGGUAUGCUCCCUCAUCAGGCUCUCACAGUGGAACACACCUUCUCCAACACCUGGCUCCUGUUCAGCAGCACCCAGAGACCAUCAGCUUCCUUUUGCACUCCUUUCAGAUAAUUUAGCAGUUGAGUCUCUCUGGAAAAAUCAAUAGCUUUCCAUGACACCCCAGAGGAUGAAUCUCCUGCCUGCCCAAAAGGCAUAUUUUCAGCAAUUUCUUCCAGUACAGCCCCACUGCAACUACUCUGCCACCCAGUGAGAGCCACAUUCUCUUUUCUUUUUUUUCUUUUUUUUAAUUUUUGAUUUCCAACUUUUAAGCUCAAGGGAACAUGUUCAGGAUAUAGAGUGUGCAGUUUGGUACAUAGGUAAACAUGUGCCUUGUGGUUUGCUGCACAGAUCAUCCCAUCACCUAGGUAUUAAGCCCAGCAUCCAUUAGCUGUUCUUCCUGAUGCUCUCCCUCCUCCCAUGCCCCACCCUCCAACAGGCCCUAGUCUGUGUUGUUCUCUCCCCGGCAAUUCCUCAAAGACUUAGAGGCAGAAAUACCAUUUGACCCAGCAAUCCCAUUAUUGGGUAUAUACCCAAAGGAAUAUAAAUCAUUCAAUCAGGAACAUAUACGCAUGUGUACGUUCACUGCAGCACUAUUCACAAUAGCAAAGACAUGGAAUCAACCUAAAUGUCCAUCAAUGAUAGACUGGAUAAAGAAAAUAUGGUACAUACACACCAUGGAAUACUAUGCAGUCACAAAAAGGAAUGAGAUCAUGUCUUUUGUAGGGACAUGGAUGGGGCUGGAAGUCAUUAUCCUCAGAAAACUAAUGCAGGAACAGAAAAACCAAACAGUGCAUGUUCUCACUUAUAUGUGGGAGCUGAGUGUUGAGAACACAUGGACACAUGGUAGUGAGCCACAUUCUUACCCUUUCCAAUAAGGCUUGAAUCUCAUCUUGGUAGGGAGGGAGCAGUCUUACUGGAUGCUGUAUUUCAGCACCAGGGAUUGGAGAACACUCCCUCACUUUUGCAUCAGCUAAUCCUGUACUCUAUAAAAUUCUUUUCAUUUAUUACAAUCCUAUUCCUCCAUACACAAAUCUCCUGUUAAAAUUAAUAACUUUUAUAUCAAACUUCCUCUGUUCACAUUACUGUGUUGGUUUCUCCCUCCUGAUUGGAUCACAACUGAUACAAUUGGGUUAAAUACUUUUUCAUAAAAUAAAUUAUUAAAUCCAUUCCUUUAGUGUGUAAGUAUUUAGAGUUUACAAAUUACUGAGAUUUAAUUCUACAAAUUAUACAUAUUUACAAUCUAGGUGAAGGCACUCAAGAGAUAUUUAAACAUUUCCCCUCUAAGACAUCAGUUUAAAGAAAGACAGAAAGAAAGAAAGAAAGAAAGAAAGAAAGAAAGAAAGAAAGAAAGAAAGAAAGAAAGAAAGAAAACCCUUUGCUAGCACAAAACAGUCCCCAAAACCUUACUGUUGGGGUUGAGAAACUGAUACCUCCUAUGGCACUUUGGAAUGCUGAGUACUUUGAAUCAAAGGAGUUGAAAGACCAUAGAAGCAACUUCAGAACCAAUGUCACUCUGACCUCCUGCUCUUCUGUCUCUUACCCUCUUUCUCCUGCAAUAGUGCAAGGAGGGGCUCUCCCUGAACUUUCCUUAUCUGUCUAAAGAUUGGCCCUCUAGAAAGAAUACACUUGUCAUGAGUGUUUUUCCUGGGAAUCUCAUCAGCCAGGGAAAAGUAAAAGUAUCACAGGGGAGGAAACUGAAAGUUGACAACAUGCCCAGGCAGAUUUUAUCACAGACUAUCGCCUCUUUUUCUGAGACUGUUUAUUACCUGAAAGACCUUUUGUUUGCAUAACAAGACAACCUUUGUUCACCCUGCAUUUUCUCCCCUCACUCUCCCAUAACUUGUGUCACCACCAACCCUAGAAUCCCCAGGCCUGUAUUCCUUUCUUCAGCUCAAGAUGUUAUAUAUGUUUCAAUCAUCUGCCCCCUUUUCAAGUCUCAUAUUUUGUGGGACUCCUAUGUGUAUGCAAAUAAUUAAAAUGUUUUUUUCUCCUGUUAGUAAUUAUCAAACCUUCAGAGGAUAAAGAAAGUUUCCUUUCUCUAUAUUAAUAAUCUCUAGUCCCAACAUUCCAUUCCUCAUUCCCCAGCAUUCACACACACAUUUCCAUGCUGCUUUUCAACAAAAAGUUUUAUUUCCUGCAGUGUAGCAAAAUAACAUGAUUCUAAGUUCUCUUUUAUAAAAUCUGUUAGCUAUUAUAAUUCCUUCACUCACUUUCCCCUUUGUAAUAAAUUUUUCCCCAUCCAUUAAAAUAAUAUGGGCUUAGUAGAAUGCUUAAAAAAUAAAGAUCCACAUGAAAAAUUUAAAGUCAUGUAUAAACAUAUAAUUUAGUGAUAAUUAGUGUUAACAUUUUGGCUCAUUUUCUCUUUGCCUUUGUAAAAUUACAUUAGUCUUGGAUUUGUUUCUUUUCCUACCCCUAUCACAAAAGAUGCUCCUCUUCAUCCAUGGUUACUAUUUUAGUGUGCCCUAAAGGAUAUCACAGCUGAUAUGUCAGGCUACAGUUGUAACUUCCCUAAAAUUAUGACCUUCUUCUAUCGUUGAUGUUGUCACCACGUGGUAAUGAAAUCUUAGGAUAUUAUAAAUAGUUUGGUAUUUGAUUCUCAUAUUUAAUAAUGAAUCUAGAGAUUUCAGGGAAGAAAUAAAGUUGAUAUUGUUUGGAUAUUUGUUCCCUUUAAAUGUCAUCUUGAAAUUUGAUCCUCAGUGUUGGAGGUGGAGCUUAGUGAAAGGCAUCUAGGUCAUGCAGCACUCCUAGCACCUCCAAGGUCUGCUUUUUCAAAAGAGUCUGGAGCCUCCCUUUAUUCACUUUUUCCUUCUCUCUCACCGUGUGUUGGUUUCUCUCCUUUCCCUUCUGCCAUGAGUGAAAACUUUCUGAAGCCCUCAUCAGAAGCAGAUGCUGGUACCAUGCUUGCACAGCCUGCACGAGUGUAAGCCAAAUAAACCUCUUUUCUUUAUAAAUUCCUCAGCCUCAUAGUAUUCCUUUACAGCUAUGCAAAUGGACUAAGACAAGAGUUGAUCCCCUUCAACCACACAGAAAAAGACUUCCACUUUGUUGAAUUUGCUUCAUUUACAAACAAAACUCUAAUAAUAAUAGUAUACAGAGAAUUAAAGAAUACAAUUGAUCAUAUGCACUGACUUAGAAAAGGAAUGCACAUGGGAUGGCAAAAUAGAGAAGGCUUCUUGUGAGUGUGUGGGGGAGGCAGGAUAGGGUUAUCUGGGUCUUUAAAAAAACACUUGACUUAAGCAGAGAGGGCUAUGAGAGGGCUUAAUAAAAGUACAGAGGUAGAAAUACAGAAGAGGUAUAAAAAUAACAAAUAGUCUUAUGUGAUUACAACUUGACAUAUGUAAUUUAGCGGAAGCAUUUUCUACUUCUGAAACAAAUUAUGAUUAACACUUCCUGUAAUAGGUUUAUAAUUAUGUAAACCUAUUUAAAUCAAUCAUUUGCACAACAAAAUGAAUGAAUUAAUUUGUUGCAGCUGUGUUUACUGAGGCACACAUGUAAAGCAAUUUUAAAUGCUGUCAAGUAACAAUGAUUUCGUUUCAUGACUCACACUAAGUGAGAAAUUCUGAUUUUUUUAAGACAAAGUUUAAAAAAUCAAAAACUUAAAACUCCUGGAACUAAAAGCAUAGAAGAAAAGCUUCAUGACAUAGGACAUGACAAUGUGUUCUCACAUAUGACACCAAAGCACAGGGAAAGAAAGCAAAAGUAGAAAAGGGACUAUAUCAAACUCAAAAACUUUUGUGCAUUGAAGGACACACCUAACAGCCUGAAAAGGCAACCUAUGGAGUAGGAGAAAAUAUUUGCAAAUCAUAUAUAUCUAUACAUAUAUAUGGAUAUGAUAGUAAAUUGUUAUACAGAAAAUAUAAAAAGAACUUCUAUAACUCAAUAACAAAAAUCAAAUAACUUAUUUUUUUAAAUGGGCUAAGGACUUGAAUAGAUAUUUCUCCAAAAGUAAUACGCAAAUGGACCACAGUCAUAUAAAACAAAUAUUUGACAUCAUAAAUAAUUAGGGAAAUGCAAGUUAAAAUCACAAGAUAUCAUCUUACAUUCACUAGUAUGACUGCUAUCAAAAAAAUGAAACAAAACAGAAAAUAACAAAUGUUAGUGAGAAUGUGGAGAAAUUGGAACCCUAGUACACUGUUGGCGGGAUUGUGCAACCACUAUGCAAAAAUUAUAAAAAAUUAAAAAUAGAACUACCAUAUUACCCAACAAUUCCACAUCUGGGAUUUUAACCAAUACUUUUAACCAAAAGUAUUGAAAGAAGAGUCUCAAAGAGAUAUUUGAACACUCAUGUUUAUAGAAGCACUAUUUAAAACACCAACAAGUAGAAGCAGCCCAAAUAUCCAUUGACAAGUGAAUGGAUGAAGGAAAUGUAGUAUAUACACAUACAAUGGAAUAUUAUUCACCCCUAAAAAGGAAAUCUUGUCACAUACUACAGCAGGGAUAAGCCUGAAUGAUAUGCUAAAUAAAUAAGCCAGUCACAAUAAGACAAAUACUGUAUGAUUCAACUUCUAUAAAAUGGUGAUUACUAGGGACUGAGGUGAAAAAGUUCUAGAUAUAUGUAUUACAACAAGUUGAAUAUACUUAAAACUACUGAAUUGCACUCUUAAAAUGAUUAAAAUGAAGAAAAUACAUGUUUUUAACUACAAUUUAAUUUUUUUUAAAUCACAAAUUUAGUGAUAGGUAUGUGGCUUUAUAGAUGUUUUAAUCCAAACUUCACAUUUUAACAAUAAAAGUACUAGGACCUUAGAAGAUGGGUGACUGGUUUCAGAUUAUCCAGUCAAGAUGAAAAUUUAUGCCUUCCAAAUUACCACAUCUUAGGUGUCUUCAUCUGCUAGCUUAAUCCCAGGUUGUUCCUGGACUAUCUCUACAUCAAGCAGUGAAAGCUUAACUCCCUUCAUGUUUUACGAUGGAUAAAUAUGUGAGGUGAAAAUCAAGAGGCUAGCAUUGACCCAAUGUACAUCAUCUAUCAAGGAGACAAUGUUCGUUUGUUCUUUGAUGAAUCUCUAAGACAACAUUGUCAUGAUUUUGUUUUCAUCACACAUUUGCAUUAGGU
rnacentral:tRNA from 10 species